GCCAUCAUACCACCACAGAAUUUGCAGUCUACACUUCAUCUCCGCAUUACACGGCAGAUCAAACCUGAUCUCAGCCAUUGGAGUAGAACAACAUCGUCUCAUCUGGCUUGUUGGACUGGCGUUGGCCGCAGCAGCACUUUGAUAGACGCAUAGAGAAAAGGACCGCUGACCAUACGGACCACCAGUAGUGUUCUCGCACAGUCAGUCAACCUGGUCACUUUGGGAAUCGUCUCCAUUCAGCUGGGACAACCUCCCUGAUAAGGCAGUCCAGACAACAAGCCUCUGAUUGUCCAUCAGCCUGACCAACCUCAUCACUUCUCUAUAGCUAGAUUACAGCUGCAUCCAUCAUCCAUCCAGGUGAUGUGACUGAACCCAACUUCUUCUGUCUGUUUAUUGCUCCUACUCUACAGCUGGCCUAAACUAACUUUCACCCCAUGAUUAAUUAUUAUAUAACCCAUACAUGCCACGGUAAAUUAAUCUGAGUAGCUGACAGGUCUCAGUUCAGUUGUGCAAUAAACUAAAUGCAAUUCAUUUGGCUGCUUUGGCACACUGGCUGCUAUAUUCUUUUUUCUCUCACCAACACAAUUCACUCAUAAAGUUCAUAAAAGGAAAUUUUUGUUUAAUGUGAAAAGAUAUUAUUGCUUCUAUUUUUGAUGCCCACUUAGCAGUCCUUUAAUUCCUAUAUGUGCUGGUAUACAGACAAAGGCAACAAUAAUACCCUGUUUUUUAUUUUUCUGUUCCACUAUCCUGCCAAAACUUCCUGUUUGUCUCCUCUCCCUUUCCCCAUCUUGACUAUGACCCAGUCAUUUUAUAGAAAUUGUGUUCUCCUGAUUUCUAAUGGCAAGUUGCAAUGCUAGAAUCUAAGUUAUUUUAAAUGCUCCUGUAAUCAUUCUUAAAGCUUACACUCUGUCUUUUUAAGGGAUGUGCUUGCUGCCCCCAGACUGUCCUCUUCUCCGUGUGGCCAGAGAGUCUUUGUUUAAUGAGUCCUUUAAAAAGCAGCUGAACACACUAUUAUUUAGACAAGCAUUUAGUUAAAUGUAUGUAUUUUUGAUGCUUUCCUUGUAAGCUGUUCUUGUGAUGUUACUAUUUAGUAUUUUUACACUGUAAUAAAUUCAUUUCCUGAUUUUCUUUCUUUUAAAAUAUAAAAAAACUUUACUUAC